rnacentral:snRNA from 1 species
AGAGCUCACGACCUCCUGUGGCUAAGAUCAAAUGUAGUAUGUAUUCUUAUCAGUUUAAUAUCCGAUAUGUCCUCUAUUUGAGGACUCUAUAUUUUUUAUGAGCUCCAGGCAUAAUUUGCAUAUUCUCAGUGCAUUCUGUGAGGAAGUGGAAAGCAACU